AUUGAACUACAGUUGUUGGUUCAGUUGUUGUCGUUGAUUCAGAUGUAGUUGUUAUGAUAGUUGAUGUUCCUGUUACAGGUGUAGAUGUGGUUUCGGUUGUUGAUUGAACUACAGUAGUUGGUUCAAUUGUUGUCGUUGAUUCAGAUGUAGUUGUUAUGAUAGUUGAUGUUCCUGUUACAGGUGUAGAUGUGGUUUCGGUUGUUGAUUGAACUACAGUAGUUGGUUCUGUUGUUGUCGUUGAUUCAGAUGUAGUUGUUAUGAUAGUUGAUGUUCCUGUUACAGGUGUAGAUGUGGUUUCGGUUGUUGAUUGAACUACAGUAGUUGGUUCUGUUGUUGUCGUUGAUUCAGAUGUAGAUGUUAGGAUAGUUGAUGUUCCUGUUACAGGUGUAGAUGUGGUUUCAGUUGUUGACUGAACUACAGUAGUUGGUUCUGUUGUAGUUGAUUCAGAUGUAGUUGUUAUGAUAGUUGAUGUUCCUGUUACAGGUGUAGAUGUGGUUUCAGUUGUUGACUGAACUACAGUAGUUGGUUCUGUUGUUGUUGAUUCAGAU